UUAAAGCAAGGGCUUGAAGAUUAUAAUUUUUCUUCUGUGUGGAAGUUAGGGAGUUGACAUUCUGAGAACAAGAUAAAAUGCAGUUCAAUCUUAAGUCAGAAGAAGAAGAAGAGGGAGGAGGGAGGUGUUCCCAAUGGCAUAAAUCCAACUGAAAGAAGCAAAAGGACAGAAGGCACAGAACACUGUUCUCUAUCAACAUACACUUGAUCACUGUCACUACUGCUGACUUGACAGUGACCUUGGGCAAGUCCCUUUGCUCAUGUAUGUUUUGUUUUGUUUUUCAUUCUUUUCAGUGCUAGCUCAGUCCUUUGAGCAGUCUA
rnacentral:lncRNA from 1 species